GGAAGUUCUGCUGCAUGUUUCCAGGCAUGUUAUUUGACCAUCCGGAAUUUGGGGGCAUUCCUCCCAUGUUCGGUGGUGGUGAGUAGCUGUUUGGUGGUGGUGGGUAGCUGUUUGGUGCUGGUGGUCCAGCCGAGUAGUUAUGAGGCGGCGGUGGUGGAGGUCCAGCUGAGAAAUUUUGAUGUGGUGAUGGUGGAGGUCCAGCUGAGUAAUUUUGAGGAGGCGGUGGUGGAGGUCCAGCCGAGUAGUUGUGAGGAGGUGGUGGUGGAGGUCCACCUGGUCCACUCAUGUUGUUUACCACUUGAUUAUCCAUUGAAGCUGCUCUUGUGCUCUGGAAAUCUCGGUUCUGCACAUUUUCCCUUCUUCUUUCAAAGUUUCUUGAUCGAUCAAAGUUCCGAGGCCUAUCAUUGCGCCUAUUU
rnacentral:lncRNA from 1 species